UCUAAGAUGGCAGAACAUAUGCGCAGGAUUUAAGCUCCUGAUAUGGAAGUUUCUUCCUUUUAGAA
rnacentral:tRNA from 1 species